rnacentral:rRNA from 1 species
GUUUGAUCCUGGCUCAGGAUGAACGCUGGCGGCAUGCCUAACACAUGCAAGUCGAACGGGGUUUAUAUAACAGAACUCUCCGGAGGGAAGAUAUAUAAACCUAGUGGCGGACGGGUGAGUAACGCGUGGGCAACCUGCCCUGUACCGGGGGACAACAGCCAGAAAUGGCUGCUAAUACCGCAUAAGCCUGCGGUGCCGCAUGGCACAGCAGGGAAAACCACGGUGGUACAGGAUGGGCCCGCGUCUGAUUAGUUAGUUGGCAGGGUAACGGCCUACCAAGACGAUGAUCAGUAGCCGGCUUGAGAGAGUGGACGGCCACAUUGGGACUGAGACACGGCCCAGACUCCUGCGGGAGGCAGCAGUGGGGAAUAUUGCACAAUGGGGGAACCCUGAUGCAGCAAUGCCGCGUGGGUGAAGAAGCACUCCGGUGCGUAAAGCCCUGUCAGCAGGGAAGAAAAUGACAGUACCUGACCAAGAAGCCCCGGCUAACUACGUA